GGGGGCAUAGCUCAGCCUGGGAGAGCACACGGCUGAAGACCGUGGUGUCCGGGAUUCAAAUUCCCGUGCCCCCA
rnacentral:tRNA from 1 species